UUAUUUUCGUGCCCCGCCGAUUUGAUUUGCAUGGCUCUGAACCUAGGCAGCAAUGAUAUGCACGCGUUUAUAUAUACUUUUGCAUCACGAAGUUUGCCAGCAAACAUCACAAUGCUCAUAAUGAAUGGAAAGAUAUUACCCUAUAUAGCAGCUGAACUGUGUGUGUUUCAUUCCUAUAAAUGUGUACUGGGACAAUGCUCACAAUGCUCUCUCUCUCUCUCUCUCUCUCUCUCUCUUACACACACACAAUCGCGGUUGUUCAUGUAUUAUCCUUGUAUGCAAACUACUUUUUGUUUCUUAUACACAACGACCUAUGUUCUAUGUUGGGUACAUAUUUUUGCACUUCUUUUGAAAUUAUUAUGGUGCAUCUGUGAUAUACCUAGCUUGUAUUAAUUUCCAGGGUAUAUUCCAGUCAUAAUGGAGAUGCUUGUGAUAAGUUUGGUACCUUCCUCUCCUACAUCGUUUGGUGUUAUGGGCCGUUCCUAGAUCUCUAUAUUUUGCAAGAGGCCAUGUUAUUUUGGUAUGCAAGAGCAGGCCUGACAGGUAUGUACAAGCUAUUUAAAAGGGCCAAGAAGGCGGAAUAGCCUCGCUUAUACAGUUUCUGACUACUAACAGUGCCAUCAUCAAUGAGCUUCACUCUAAAGUCUGUUCAUGAGAGGGUUGUGCUUCCUUCAAUGCUAGGGCUGAAAUUGGAGAAUAAACAAGGGGUUGACAUGCCCGUGAAGUUCUAUUAGGACAGCGUCUCCCCGCGUUCUCGAUCCGGCGCCGCCACAUAUCGUGAUUCUGGAUCGGGCGCAGGUCGUCGCCAUAAGAGAGCCUGGCUGGUGUGGUCUUCGUGCUUGGCGUGGAGAAGCACGGGAGGAUGAGUAGGACGAGCAUGAGGAAGGAGCAGCCAGGCCGGAGCUCCGGCGUUGCUCGCGUCAUGGUCGAAUGGAGCUGGCCAUCACUAUGGGCUGCUGCUCGCCGGUCGUCGUUCCCCAAUCUCAGUUGCUCAUCUUUGGCUUCACCAUCUUCCUCCCCUGAUCAUGCAUCUAUUUUAGAUCAUAUACUUAUGCUAUAUCAUAUAUGUUGUUUAGUUUAGACUUGUGCAUGUGCAUGCAUUGGCAUUGAUUUAGACAGAGAUAUUGCAUGAUUUGUACAUAGAAGGAGUACGGAUGAUCUAGGAAUAAAUGUUUGAAUAAAGUUAGUAGUGAGAUUUAGGUAGAGGUUACCUGCACUGUUCUGUUUUAUGUAGAUUCUAAGCUGCAAAAUCAUACAUAGUCCUGUUAGUAAUUUGUUUGAGUUGUGAGUUUACGCAUUUUUCCUUGGAAUGUUUGUAUGUGUGAUCACU